GACGAACGCUGGCGGCGUGCUUAACACAUGCAAGUCGAACGGAAAGGCCCUGCUUUUGUGGGGUGCUCGAGUGGCGAACGGGUGAGUAACACGUGAGUAACCUGCCCUUGACUUUGGGAUAACUUCAGGAAACUGGGGCUAAUACCGGAUAGGAGCUCCUGCUGCAUGGUGGGGGUUGGAAAGUUUCGGCGGUUGGGGAUGGACUCGCGGCUUAUCAGCUUGUUGGUGGGGUAGUGGCUUACCAAGGCUUUGACGGGUAGCCGGCCUGAGAGGGUGACCGGCCACAUUGGGACUGAGAUACGGCCCAGACUCCUACGGGAGGCAGCAGUGGGGAAUAUUGCACAAUGGGCGGAAGCCUGAUGCAGCAACGCCGCGUGCGGGAUGACGGCCUUCGGGUUGUAAACCGCUUUCGCCUGUGACGAAGCGUGAGUGACGGUAAUGGGUAAAGAAGCACCGGCUAACUACGUGCCAGCAGCCGCGGUGAUACGUAGGGUGCGAGCGUUGUCCGGAUUUAUUGGGCGUAAAGGGCUCGUAGGUGGUUGAUCGCGUCGGAAGUGUAAUCUUGGGGCUUAACCCUGAGCGUGCUUUCGAUACGGGUUGACUUGAGGAAGGUAGGGGAGAAUGGAAUUCCUGGUGGAGCGGUGGAAUGCGCAGAUAUCAGGAGGAACACCAGUGGCGAAGGCGGUUCUCUGGGCCUUUCCUGACGCUGAGGAGCGAAAGCGUGGGGAGCGAACAGGCUUAGAUACCCUGGUAGUCCACGCUGUAAACGGUGGGUACUAGGUGUGGGGUCCAUUCCACGGGUUCCGUGCCGUAGCUAACGCUUUAAGUACCCCGCCUGGGGAGUACGGCCGCAAGGCUAAAACUCAAAGGAAUUGACGGGGCCCCGCACAAGCGGCGGAGCAUGCGGAUUAAUUCGAUGCAACGCGUAGAACCUUACCUGGGUUUGACAUGGAUCGGGAGUGCUCAGAGAUGGGUGUGCCUCUUUUGGGGUCGGUUCACAGGUGGUGCAUGGCUGUCGUCAGCUCGUGUCGUGAGAUGUUGGGUUAAGUCCCGCAACGAGCGCAACCCUUGUUCACUGUUGCCAGCACGUUAUGGUGGGGACUCAGUGGAGACCGCCGGGGUCAACUCGGAGGAAGGUGGGGAUGACGUCAAGUCAUCAUGCCCCUUAUGUCCAGGGCUUCACGCAUGCUACAAUGGCUGGUACAGAGAGUGGCGAGCCUGUGAGGGUGAGCGAAUCUCGGAAGGUCGGUCUCAGUUCGGAUUGGGGUCUGCAACUCGACCUCAUGAAGUCGGAGUCGCUAGUAAUCGCAGGUCAGCAACGCUGCGGUGAAUACGUUCCCGGGGCA
rnacentral:rRNA from 1 species